UGUCCUCGGGACCCUCCGGGCGCUGCGCGGCGCGGCGCUGGGGCUGCGACCUCUGGGCGAGGCCGGUGAUGGAGACAGGGAGCGGUCUCAGCCGCCGACCGAAAGAAUGGUUGCUUUACCUUUGGGGGGACCUCCCUUUUCACGAAGUUGGGGCGGAACUUUGUGCGCUGACCUGUUGUCACAGCCGCUUCCAGAGCGGUCCCUAGCUGUUGGUAGUAAGUCCGGUUAUAAAUUUUUCUCCCUUUCUUCUGUGGAUAAGCUGGAACAGAUCUAUGAAUGCACUGAUACGGAAGAUGUGUGCAUUGUAGAGAGAUUGUUUUCAAGCAGCUUAGUGGCCAUCGUCAGCCUCAAAGCUCCUAGAAAGCUAAAAGUUUGCCAUUUUAAGAAAGGAACUGAGAUCUGCAACUACAGCUACUCAAAUACCAUACUGGCCGUGAAGCUGAACCGACAGAGGCUGAUAGUUUGCCUGGAGGAGUCUCUCUAUAUACACAACAUUCGGGACAUGAAAGUACUGCACACGAUCAGGGAAACCCCUCCAAACCCUGCAGGCUUGUGUGCACUGUCGAUACACAACGACAAUGGUUACUUGGCAUACCCAGGCAGUGCCACUAUUGGAGAGGUGCAGGUCUUCGACACCAUGAAUUUGAGAGCUGCAAACAUGAUCCCAGCUCACGACAGUCCUUUGGCAGCACUGGCGUUUGAUGCCAGUGGAACCAAGCUUGCCACUGCCUCCGAGAAGGGGACCGUGAUUAGAGUAUUCUCCAUUCCAGAGGGACAAAAACUCUUUGAGUUCCGGAGAGGAGUUAAGAGGUGUGUGAGCAUCUGCUCCUUGGCCUUCAGCAUGGACAGCAUGUUCCUCUCUGCAUCUAGCAACACUGAGACUGUGCACAUCUUCAAACUUGAGACUGUGAAAGAAAAACCUCAGGAGGAGCCCACCACCUGGACUGGGUACUUCGGGAAGGUACUCAUGGCUUCCACCAGCUACUUGCCCUCCCAAGUAACAGAAAUGUUCAACCAGGGCAGAGCCUUUGCCACAGUUCGCCUGCCUUUCUGUGGCCACAAGAACAUCUGCUCACUGGCCACAAUUCAGAAGAUUCCCCGACUACUGGUGGGAGCUUCCGACGGGUACUUGUACAUGUAUAACCUGGACCCCCAGGAAGGAGGCGAGUGUACCCUGAUGAAACAGCACAAGUUGGAUGGAAGCAUGGAGACAACCAAUGAAAUCUUAGACUCAGCCUCUCACGACUGCCCCUUAGUGACUCAGACCUACAACACAGCUGUCGCCACAGGUACUCAUGUGCCUUCAUCUCCGACCAGACUUGCCUACGGAGACGAGCUGGGGGCCGUGGGCGGCGCAUGUCUGGAAGAGGAGGCCAGCGCUCUGCGGCUGGAGGAGGACAGCGAGCAUCCUCCUAUGAUUCUUCGGACGGACUGAACUUGACCUGUGAACUCUGACCCCCGGAGCAGAGAACACUGGCUUGAUGGAGGACUUUGUGUUAUGCUGCUAUGAACUUUGACCUGAGUUGGGGAGAGGAUGGCAGAGACUUAAAAAGAAAAAAAAAAAAAAGAUCGUAGCUGUAGUCUUAUUCCAUACUGUUGAGAAAUACAUCGUUUUCACUUCAGUGGCUUUUAAUCCUGCUUAGGAAUCUUAGCUUUUUGUUUGUUUUCUGUUUUUGCCAAAAUUAACUGUUUGGUGAAGCCCUUGAAACCUUGCUUUGCAUGCGUUAAUGUGCCAAGCCAGCAUAGGAGAGCUAGAAGCCACUUUAUAACAACUGCAGUUGUUUGGUUUUUAAAAUCUGUAUAUAAGGAGGAGCGUACACAAGGAGAAGGUGGCAUCGUGCAGAGCGGUUCUGGGUGUUAAGGCAGGUUCUGCUCAGGCGGGUCCAAGAGCCCUCUCUGGGUUUGCCAGGCUCAGGGGGCAACAGCCAUGGGGAGGGGUCCUCUCUCUCCAGAGCCCCUCCUGGGCCCUUCCCCCCAUUUUAUUUUGUUAAUUAAAUUCUUUCCAAAUUGGAUUAUUCUGGGAUCUCUUGCUUGCCGGACUUUUAUUUUGUUUCUGGCUUUAUUUUUCAUGUGGGUAUUGGAGGAGAGAUUCUUUCUGGCAUUAAAAAAAUCUUCCUUUCUGACAGCACAUGAACUCAAAAGAACACCUCAGAGGGCCAGAGCGAAGGAGAGUGGUCUUGUUUUGUGUAAUUAAAUUAUCUGGUCUUUAAUUUUCCUGUUGAAUAACUGUGUGGGGGUUCUGUUUGUGUGUUUUUAAGGAAUUUUGUAGCUACUCCCUAUACCCAUGGAGCAUAGAAUUACAGUGUGGGGGGCACCCGAACUGUCCUCGGACCUUGAGCCCCGCCGUCUGUCAAGGGCUCCUCUCACCCGUGUCAGGAGUACUAAAGAGAGGGAAAUGCGACAGACCUGGGGAGAGGGGAGGCUGUGAGCACCGGUUUUACAGGGUGAUAUGUGCCUUUUCUAUUUUAAUCUUACAGAAUUGUUCAACAAAGUGACGUGAGAUUGUGGUCACAAGUCCUAGUGUUAGCCCAGCUCCCCUUUUCAUUUUUACAGGAGUCGCACAACCACAGAUACCUCAGAAUCUGCAUUCCAGACCAAGACAUCUAGUAGUCAAAGUUUCGAGGCAAUUCAAGUGGUGUAAAAGGUCGUCAUAGAUUCUUGACAGAAUGGUGACGGGUAAGGACAGAAGUUAAAACAAGGCAAAAAUGUUAUCUGCCCUCCCUUUGCCCCGUGUCAGCCUUCUGGACAGAGGAGGUGCAGAGGCAUGUGCUCCAUGUUGAGGGGGCUGCUGCAGCAGUUGGUGGAGCUGACUGCACACUUUCCAUACCCAACCUCAGGGUCUGUCUGUACCCUUACAGCUGCAUAUCCAGUGGUUGGUUUGAAGGUGAGAGCCUAGGUGCAGAGAGCACCCAGAUAAGUUUGGACAGCAGCGGAAAUCUCUAGAAACGCUGGUUAGGGCAGCAGCCUGAGAUGCUGUACGCUACUGGUCAGAGGUGAAGGCAGAGUAUACUGUACCUUCCUUUAAAGGCUGGCACACCACCUGCAUCCCUGACGAAGUGUGACCCUCAGGCCCAGAUGUGAUACAGUGUGCAUCUGCUGAGCACCGAGCAAGGAUACGCUUAACCUAAGGACUCUUGAGGGGCCGCACAGGACACAGCCUGCCUGUGUCAGACCUGGGAGGCCCUAUCUCUGUAUCUUCUGGAACAAGGCACUGGACUCUGUGUCGACGGCUGCGGGCCUCUGAGCAGCCACCUAUGGUUCUCACAGGAGGGAGUUCCCAGGCUUUGCCUCCUCACUGAUCCAUUUGGGGAGCAGACGAGAAAAUAGUUGGUCAUGUACAGAGAAGACUAGGCGUGCUCAGGUCACAGAGUGAAACGGGACAGUCGGUGGUGGGAACACUGUUCCUGGCUCUUUGCAGCUAUUGUUUGUAGCCUUUGUAAUGGCAGCAGCAUGGAGCUGUGCAUGGGCCGUGCUGGUUUGGUUUGUGUGUCCCCUGCCCUAAAUGUCUGUAGGUUCUGUCUUCUGCAUGCAGGGAAUGACAGGAGCUCUCAUUUAAAAUGUCUUUGUGACUCUGUAGCUAGCACAGCUGAAAUUCCAAAUACAUUAUUUUACAAGUGUACUUAAUUCUUAAGAUGGACAGGUCGAAAACUUGGUUUGGGUUCUGUGGUAUCAGAGAUGUAGAAAGAUCGGGCAUUCAGGCCAUUGGUAUUCUGUUUGGGAAGAGUGCUUUAUAUAGAAUUCUCUUUUGUGAAUAACUGAUUUCUUACUGAAAAUAUAAUGAUUGCUUAUUGCCAAGCAGAUCUCACUGAUGUAUAUUUUAGUUCCCACCCAGGUCCUAACCCUUGGCCCAUAUUGUACCUUUUCAUUCUGUGGAUUUUGUGAAGCACAAAAAUGGAUUUUGAGGCAUGGCCAGCCCCUCUAUCCUUCCCUGGUAUCUGGCCAGGAAAGUCUUUAAUUUGGAAAAAUUAAAUCUUUUUAAAGCUCAGAA